rnacentral:rRNA from 1 species
AUGGAGCCAUACAAGUUGAUGGACCAGAAAACUCCCUUUGGUGAGCGCAAGUUGUUGGGCCAUCAAAGGCAUGUUAACCUGCCGCCAACCCCCUGGAGGGCUGAUCAAGAUCCUCUACAACAACAUGAUUCAUUUUCGAAGCCGUUGGCUUUAUUUCCUAAUGCUAGAAAGGGACAUUUAAAUAUGACCCAAUAUGAGAAUGGACUUUUCUCAAGCUCCCUUCCAGACAUUUUUGACAACAAAUUGAGACUAACACCUAAGAAUGGCCUUGUUGGCCAGCCAGCUGAAAAGGAACUCAACCAUGCAGAUGACGAGCCUUUUGAAUUAACUCAGGAAAUUGAGGCACAAGUAAUUGGCAAUCUCCUCCCUGAUGAUGACGACUUAUUGUCAGGUGUUCUUUAUAAUGUGGGUCACCCUGCCCGUGCUAAUAACAUGGAUGACAUUGAUGAUGAUAUAUUCUCUACUGGAGGUGGAAUGGAAUUGGAAGCUGAUGAAAAUAACAAAUUGCUAAAACUUAACGGUGGAGCCAACACCGGUCAGACUGGGUUCAAUGGCCUACUGUAUGGCGAAAACCCCUCGAGAACCCUUUCCAUUAGAAACAUUAAUAUCAAUGUUGAGGAUACUGAAUUGAAACUCCUAUUUGAGCAAUAUGGAGACAUCCGAACACUUUACACUGCCUACAAACAUCAUGGUUUAGUGAUGAUAUCUUACUAUGAUAUAAGAUCGGCAGAACGUGCCAUGGAAGCGCUUCAAAGCAAGCCAUUCAGGCAGUGGAAACUUGAGACACAUUACUCCAUCCCAAAGGAGAACCCUUUGGAGAAUGAUAACAACCAGGGCACGCUUGCAGUGAUUAACCUAGACCAGUCUGUAACUAAUGAUGAUCUUCGUCAUAUAUUUGGUGGCUAUGGUGAAAUCAAGGCGAUUCACGGGGCAUCACAAAACGGCCAUCACAAAUACGUUGAGUUUUUUGAUACCAGAGCAGCAGAAGCUGCACUUUAUGCUUUGAACAUGAGAGAUAUUGCAGGAAAGAAAAUCAGAUUAGAGCGCUGCUGCGCGGGCGACGGUAAACGUCUGACGCUGCUUAGGCCUCCUGAGUUGGAGCAGGAAGAGUAUGGUGCAUGCAAGCUAGGAAAUGCAAACAGUCUGCCCUCAACUUACUACGGUUCUGUCAACAUGGCUUCCAUGACUUCCGCUGGUCCUGAACAUGGGAUCUCUCGGGUUCUGCGUCCCAGAGUUCAGCCACCAAUACACCAAUUCAGGGAGGGAGCUUUCCUGGAUGUUCCCUCAAGUACUAUGCAAAGUAUAUCCUCUCCUGUUAGAAUUGCAACUGCAGUAACGCAUAACAACCGGUCGACUGUCGGUGAGAAUGGUCAUUCACUUGGAAAGAUGGGUGGACAGAUUAAUGGACACUUGAAUUAUGGAUUUCAUGGGGUCGGAGCUUUCAAUCCACAUUCCCUUCCUGACUUUCGCAACGGCCAAAGUAAUGGUAUUUCUUGCAACUUAGGCACAAUAUCACCCAUUGGAGUUAAGAGCAACUCUAGAACUGCUGAAGGAAUGGAGAGCAGACAUCUUUACAAAGUUGGUUCUGCUAACCUUGGUGGUCAUUCUUCUGGUCAUACCGAAGCACCCGGGUUUUCAAGAACUGGAAGCUGCCCCCUUCAUGGCCACCAAGUAGCGUGGAACAAUUCAAAUAACUCCCAUCAUCAUACCUCUUCUCCUAUGCUAUGGCCGAACUCAGGAUCAUUUAUCAAUAAUAUACCAUCUCGACCUCCCACACAAGCGCAUGGAAUUUCAAGAUCAUCUCGCAUGCUUGAAAAUGUCCUUCCAGUGAAUCAUCAUGUUGGAUCUGCACCAGCUGUCAAUCCAUCAAUUCUGGAUAGGAGAACUGGUUAUGCAGGGGAGCUGAUGGAAGCGCCAAGUUUCCAUCCUGGGAGUGCUGGAAGCAUGGGUUUCUCUGGUAGUCCGCAUCUGCAUCAGUUGGAGCUCACUAGCAUGUUUCCUCAGAGUGGAGGGAACCAAGCCAUGUCCCCUGCACACAUUGGUGCUCGAUCUCCUCAGCAGAGGGGGCAUAUGUUUCAUGGAAGGGGUCAUAUAGGCCCCCCUCCAUCUUCAUUUGAUUCACCAGGUGAACAUGCAAGGAGCCGAAGAAACGAGUCAUGUGCUAAUCAAUCGGAUAAUAAAAGGCAGUAUGAGCUAGACAUUGAGCGUAUAGUCUGCGGCGAGGAUUCCCGGACUACAUUAAUGAUAAAGAACAUCCCAAACAAGUACACCUCUAAGAUGCUUUUGACCGCUAUUGAUGAAAAUCACAAGGGAACUUAUGAUUUUAUCUAUCUUCCAAUUGACUUUAAGAAUAAAUGCAAUGUGGGCUACGCAUUCAUCAAUAUGAUAAGUCCUGAGCAUAUUGUUCCAUUCUAUAAGAUAUUUCAUGGGAAAAGGUGGGAGAAAUUCAAUAGCGAGAAGGUAGCAUCACUUGCAUAUGCUAGAAUCCAAGGAAAAUCAUCUCUAAUUGCGCACUUCCAAAAUUCAAGUUUGAUGAAUGAGGAUAAACGCUGCCGCCCUAUACUUUUCCACUCAGAUGGUCCAAACGCAGGGGAUCAAGAACCUUUUCCAAUGGGAACACACGUCCGUUCUAGGCCUGGGCGAUCCAGGGUUUUGAGCUGCGAAGAAAGUCACCGGGACACUCUGUCAUCUUCUGCCAACAAUUGGACUCCUUCCAACGGGGGCGGCCACGCUUCAGGCUACUCAAAGGAGGCUGACCCAACCACAGCUUGA